AGGAACCGKCGCAGCCCGGGAGCAGUGGCAGCUCUGCCGUCCGUCUCCAGAGCUAAAGAAACAUGAGAAAUCUGGAAAGGAUCAUGAGAAGAAUUCAAAAGACAAAAACUGUACAGGAUCAAGACGUGUACUUUCCCUUUACCAGUAUAAUGAACUUAUUAGGCAAACUAAAAGAGCUCACAUGGCAGAGACGGAUGAGAGUUAUUAGUCCCAGUCAGAAUCGACCUUUUGCCU